rnacentral:lncRNA from 1 species
UCCCCGGCAACGGAAAAAAGAAUGUCACCUUCUGAUUGAAAAGUGGCAGGGCAUACAACUUUUUAAAUUCUUCGUGCCAUCCUAGACAAAAAUAAAUAUAAAGCGGUAUACAUCUCCUCAAAAGUGGCCAACACAACAUGUCGCAUGAAUUUAAAAUAAUAAUAAGAAUAAGAAUAAAAAAAAUUUCAAAAUACUACAAAUACCCUCGACUUCGAGCCAGUCACAAUAUAUUGUCCUCCAAAAUUUGACUUUUCUCACCAUCUUUCACAAAAUAAUAAAUAAAAAGGGACGAACAUUCGAAAAAGAUACAUGAGUAAAUUAGAUUAAUUUUUAACUAUAUUUUCAAAAAACUUUAAAAAGUGAUAUACAUAAAAUUUACUAUGGAACAUAUAAUUCAAAACUCAAAACUAUAACCAAAAAUAAAAAUCAAAUUCAUCUACUAAAAAUAUAUUUUAAGAUGUAUAUUUGAUUCCAAAUUACCCCCCAUUAACUUUGUCUUCACCCAUUUGAUUUCUCCCAACAUCCUUCACAAAUAUAAAUAAAAAUUGACAUGGUUCACCUAAAAAAUGAUAAAACACUCAUAAAAUAUCACAUCAUGUCACCUAAUGCAGAACCUUAUUUCAUAUUCAUAUAAACAUUUUGUAUUGCAUUUUUAUGGUUGACUUUCACACGCACGUAAUGACCAAAUUUCCCUGGAGUUAAAAAACCUAACUCACCACCAUGGAUUCAAAGUUGAAUUUUCAUGUAUACGAACACAAACAAAACCUUAAAAAUCUUAAAUCUAUUAUAAAAUUACAGCAACAUUGAGCAAAUUAGACGAUGUUGGCAAUUUGCCUGGAAAAAUGACUUCUAAUUGUGAUAGAAGAAUGAAACUGGAAUGGAAGAUGAAAUCAUUACCGAAAUAUGAAAAUAAGCAUUUGAAAACUCAAAAUCUGGUAAAUAAAAUUCAUAAAGAAGAAGUAAAUUUUAUUGUAAUACUUGAAAUUAGAUAUGCAACUUCUGAAUUAUGUCAAAAUUGAAGAAGAACCUAGCAGAGUUGAAUUGAAUUGAUUUUGUAUUUAAUGGUAAAUUUAAAGAAGAUAGUGUGGCCUAUAGGUUGAAGUUCUA